CCUCCUCUCAAAAUCCCUUCUCUAGUGGCUUGCCAUUUCUUUUUUUUUCUUUUUUAAUUUUGUUUAUUUAUUUUGAGAGGGAGACAGUGUGAGUAGGAGAGGGGAAGAGAAAGAGGGAGACAGAAUUAUAAGCAAGGUCUGCAACAUCAGCAUGGAGUCAGAUGCAAGGCUUGAACUCAUGAAACUGAGAGAUCUUGAGCUGAGACCAAGAACCAGAUGCUUAACUGACUGAGCCACCAUGCACCCCAGUUUCCCAUUUCAAGGGAAGUCACCUACAGAAGAUUCCCCACCUUGGCUGACAUUGAACACAAUCUGGUGAGCUUUAAGGUAUUUUGAAACCUGUAAGAAGAAACUGUCCAAAAUUUUCCUGUUUCUCCAGAGUCUUCCAGAGACUGGCCCAAUGUACCUUUUGAUGCCUGCUUGGUGUUCAUCUUUUGAGUCUGACUCAGAAGUCAGGAAGGAUGUUACAUGUCUACUUUC